ensembl:lncRNA CASC19 cancer susceptibility 19
GUGGCAUUAAAUUCUCAUAGCAGCACAAACCCUGUCAUGAACUGCACAUGCGAGGGAUCUAGGUUGUGCGCUCCUUAUGAGAAUCUAAUGCCUAAUGACCUGUCACCGUCUCCCAUCACCCCUAGAUGGGAGUGUCUAGUUGCAGGAAACAAGCUCAGGGCUUCCACUGAUUCUACAUUAUGGCUGUGGCUUGCCUUUUCACUUCUUGUGUCCUGUUUAAGAAAUAUCUGCUAUCCCAAGAUAACACUAACAAAGUUGACCUUAGAAUUGGAGUGCCUGGGUUAGAACCCUGCUGGUACCACCUGCUUACUGCAUGCUUCUGAUGUGAGUUCAGGAGAAGACACUGGCAAGGACAGCAAAGAACAGGAGAACACUCUAGCUUCCCUGAUAGCAUUCAAGGUGCUGUCCAAAGCUCUUGAGUUUCUGCUUUCAAGUGACCCUCAGAAAUUCCUCCAUUCACUGCAGAGGUUCUGUUUCUCCUUGCUUUGUUCUGACUUUACGGCAGAACUAAGCUAAUGAGUUAGUUACUAUGGGUUAUCACUUGGAUUUGAAGAACCAUCAUUUCUAGGCAUUGCUGCUCAGAGUGGGUCUGCCCUCAGGGGAAGCUGUCUAACCAGAGCCUAACCCACUAGGGUUUUAUCAGAACCUAACUGACCUGAGGAAAAGAAAUACUCAACUCCAGCAAGCUCCAGCCUUCCAAAUGGAGGAGGAGAAAACCCAACUCCAGCCCACUUCAGCUAUCUUGUCCCACAUAAAGGGGAAGUGGAAGAAACCUGAGAAGCAGGCAUGAAGUUCACAGUCCAGAGGUACAGACACAUCAGAGUUCAGUAUCUGAUGAAUUAGAUGCAAAAACCUCAACAAAGUAUUAGCAAAUUGAAUUCAACAA